AGUGAACGCUGGCGGUAGGCCUAACACAUGCAAGUCGAACGGCAGCACAGUAAGAGCUUGCUCUUACGGGUGGCGAGUGGCGGACGGGUGAGGAAUACAUCGGAAUCUACUUUUUCGUGGGGGAUAACGUAGGGAAACUUACGCUAAUACCGCAUACGACCUACGGGUGAAAGCAGGGGAUCUUCGGACCUUGCGCGAUUGAAUGAGCCGAUGUCGGAUUAGCUAGUUGGCGGGGUAAAGGCCCACCAAGGCGACGAUCCGUAGCUGGUCUGAGAGGAUGAUCAGCCACACUGGAACUGAGACACGGUCCAGACUCCUACGGGAGGCAGCAGUGGGGAAUAUUGGACAAUGGGCGCAAGCCUGAUCCAGCCUUACCGCGUGGGUGAAGAAGGCCUUCGGGUUGUAAAGCCCUUUUGUUGGGAAAGAAAAGCAGCAGGUUAAUACCCCGCUGUUCUGACGGUACCCAAAGAAUAGGCACCGGCUAACUUCGUG
rnacentral:rRNA from 1 species